rnacentral:rRNA from 1 species
UACAGAGGAGCCAAGCGUUGUCCGGAUUGACUGGGCGUAAAGCGCACGCAGGCGGCAUCGCGCGUGGGGUGUGAAAUCUGGCCGCUUAACGGCCAGGCGCCAUCCCAUACGGCGAGGCUGGAGCGAUGCAGAGGUCGGUGGAAUUGCCGGUGUAGUGGUGAAAUGCGCAGAUAUCGGGAAGAACACCCGUGGCGAAGGCGGCUCUCUGGGACGGUACUGACGCUGAGACGGCGAAAGCGUGGGGAGCGAACAGG